rnacentral:rRNA from 1 species
AUACGGAGGUGGCAAGCGUUACUCGGAUUCAUUGGGUGUAAAGGGCAGGUAGGCGCUUUGGCAAGUUUCGGGUGAAAGCCCCCGGCUCAAUCGGGGAAUUGCCUGAAAAACUGCUAGGGUUGAGUGUAAUAGAGGAGAACGGAAUUCUCGGUGUAGGAGUGAAAUCUGUAGAUAUCGAGAAGAACACCAGUGGCGAAGGCGGUUCUCUAGAUUACAACUGACGCUGAGCUGCGAAAGCUAGGGGAGCAAACAGGAUUAGAUACCCCAGUAGUCC